rnacentral:rRNA from 1 species
AUUGAACGCUGGCGGCAGGCCUAACACAUGCAAGUCGAACGAGUGGCGGACGGGUGAGUAAUGUCUGGGAAACUGCCUGAUGGAGGGGGAUAACUACUGGAAACGGUAGCUAAUACCGCAUACCAUCAGAUGUGCCCAGAUGGGAUUAGCUAGUUGGUGGGGUAACGGCUCACCAAGGCGACGAUCCCUAGCUGGUCUGAGAGGAUGACCAGCCACACUGGAACGGAGAAACGGUCCAGACUCCUACGGGAGGCAGCAGUGGGGAAUAUUGCACAAGGGGCGAAAGCCUGAUGCAGCCAUGCCGCGUGUGUGAAGAAGGCCUUCGGGUUGUAAAGUACUUUUGGCGGGAAGGCGGUACCCAAAGAAGAAGCACCGGCUAACUCCGUGCCAGCAGCCGCGGUAAUUC